AAAAUGUCAAAUUAUGACAAAAAUCAUAACGAGAUAAAAGUAAAAAUUAUUUUAUGCUAAAUCACAUUUAUGAGAUAAAAAUGAAAAAUUAUGACACACUUAAGUCAUAAUUAGGACAUAAAAAUGUCAAAAUAUGACAAAAAAUCAUUAUGAGAUAAAAGUAAAAAUUAUGAGACAAAUAGUCAUAAUUUUGACUUUUUAUGUCAUGAUUAUGACAUCUUGUGGUGGAAAUGUGCUCAUGUAUUAUUUGGACACCAAAGACAUCAAGUUUAUUGACAUAAAGCACAUUUGGACGCACAACGUGAUCAGGGGUGUAAAAUUACAGUGAUUUUGUACUUAAGUGAGGGAAUACUGUGCCAAAAAGUUCUUUCCACAUUUAAAAGUGUUGAAUCAUAAAGUUAUACUUUUUUAACUAAGGCGUCUCUUCACAAGAACAAAUGACUGCAAUUGUCACCAAAUUACAUUUCACAUUGAAAUGGAUUUCAUUGGCUGUAAAAAAAAAAAAAAAGCACCAGAGCUCAGUUUGAUUGGCUUAGCAGCUUAGUAAGAUGAAAACACUAUAUAGGCCUAUAUUUUUAUAUAAUAGAAAAUAUUUAAGUAAUAAUACUUGUGAAACAUUGACUUGGAAAUGCGGAGUAGUUUUUCCUUAGAAAAGUAAUAGAGUAAAAGUUGCAGUCUCACAAUUACUUGAGCAAAGAACAUAUUCCCAAAUUAAUGCUUAAGUAUGUUAAUGAAGUACAGUGAAGUACUUUAACACCCCUGCAUGUGCAAUUCAAAAGAUCUUAGUCAUAUGAUUAAUCAGAUUUCUGUAUAAAUGCUUUUCUCUUUGCAGAAAGUUUCACGUCUGUAUUUAGAAGUCAACACGCAAUGCAUUCACAUUCUGUUUUACUUUUUCAGUGUGAUGGAUAUCUGAGUCAAGAACAUAAAAUGUAGAUCAGGAUUUGGUUUUAUUCAUCAGGGUUUGAUGCAGAGGUGUAAAGUGGGCGUUAAGUGAGUUUGAGGAGGUUUUUUGACCUGAAACGUGGAGGAUGAAGGUCAAGUUCAUCCUCAACUGCUAUCAUUGCCAUAACCUUUAGUACAUUUCCAAGCAUUGAAUGACUUCACAAAGAUUUUUAGAAAAGCUGAGUCACCUACGAAAGCAGCUGAAUAGCUAUUUUGGAGCCUUGACAUCAAGUGCAAAAAAAAGUUGUUUCAGGGACAAAGAAAUUUAACUGAAAGGUUAAGAAAAUCAUGAACAAUAAGAACAUUUAUGAGGAAAGUUGCAUUCAUGUUGACUUGAACAUCAGUAAAAGCAGCUCAGACCUGCAUCUCCAUGAAGUGAAUCACUCCUCGUGUCUGUUGAACCUCUCAGUGUUAUCAGAAAUAGAGCUCUUAUCAAAUUCUUCAUGCUGUGUGUGUGUGUGUGGAGGUGGAGGGGGGGGGGGCAUCGGGGCCAAAGGCCCACCGCCACAUGUGGGCUGAAUCUAUGCAAACGUCAAUCUUUUAUUCAAACUCUUUUUGGUAUAAAUGAGCUCAUAACAGUUUUCAUUCCUCUUGCUUUUGCCAUCUUUCCUCGUGCCAUUCAUGGAUUUGUUCCUCUGUGAAAAGGGCUGUUGUUUGUCUCACUCUGGCUCACUUUAAAGGCGACUGCAGUAUUUCAGUCAGUGACUCAACUGAAUCUUCAACAGACGCUAUAUUCACUGACAGAAGCACAAGCGUGAGUCAGGUCAGAUGAGUUCAGACAAACGUUUCUCAUAAUCCUUCAUCAUUAGUUCAUUAUCUGAGUGUGAACGUUCACAAUUCUCCUCUUAUUUUAUCAGCUGCAUGUUUAUGUUGACUAUUAUCGCUAUAAGAAUUUACUAGCAGUGUGCAUCUGUACCUCAGUCCAGCUCAUUUUAGAUUUCAAAUUUAUUCAUAUUUGCUUAUUGCUUUUUUCCCUUUUUAUUUUAAAUGUUUU
ensembl:lncRNA